rnacentral:rRNA from 1 species
AACUCAGGCCCUCUAUUAAAUUACCAUCGUCUGAUCUCAGAAGCUAAGCAGGGUUGGGCCUAGUUAGUACUUGGAUGGGAGACCACCUAGGAAUACCAGGUGCUGUAGGUG